CUUAAUUGGCUUUUCUUAAAGACCAGUUCUCUGCAAAAAUUCCAGCACUGAGAAAGGAAAAUCAGUGCAGGUCUGUGGUCAAGUUUGCAUCAAUGUGUUGCUUCAAAUAUGUCCUAUGACUGAGAGCAAUCACAUUUCAGCACUUUUAUUUUUUUAAACCUCAGAUGACCACUGAUUUUUCAUGUUUUCUCAUGUUUUAUCUUUGACAACCAGAGAUUACCAAAGAUAUGGUUUCUCCUUCUCUGUAAGUGGUCACUAGCUAUUUCAAUCUAGGAAGGAAAAAAAUCCUUUGAGAAAAGCAAUGAUAAAUCAUUUUUGAUGUGUUCUUUUUUUAGUGGGUACCCAAAGGCAAUUCCUAACGGUGGUCCCCUUAAUAUCUAGAAAAGUAAUUGCUUCUUAAUCCAGGUACUUGGAAGUAGCAAACGAUAUUUUUGCUGUUUAUUUUUUCUCUUUUGAAGGGUAUUGACAGCUUUCUGUUGCUAAGUAAGAGGUGUUUCCAUUCAGCAGACUGAAAGUGGGGCAUUGCACCAAUCUGUACUCGUAAUAAAAAGGAACAGUGCAAACCAGAUUUUAGCAAUUCUUGUAAUAGCUGCAACAUCCUCUGUGACUGAAAGGAACUUGGCACAAGGAAAGCAUUUGAAGAAAAAUUGUUUAUAGCAGAGUGAUGAACUCUCUCUUGCCCACCAUUGUUGCACUAUACAAUCCCACUAAUUCCUGUGACAUAGUAUGAAUGAAAUGCCCAAUACUGGAUUACUUUGACUUGCAUAAGA
rnacentral:lncRNA from 13 species